rnacentral:misc_RNA from 1 species
GUGAGUCAUCGAAUCUUUGAACGCACAUUGCGCCCUUUGGUAUUCCGAAGGGCAUGCCUGUUCGAGCGUCAUUACAACCCUCAAGCUCUGCUUGGUAUUGGGUCUUGCCAGCAAUGGUAGACCUCAAAAUCAGUGGCGGUGCCACCUGGCCCUACGCGCAGUAAAACUCUCGCUCUAGGUGCUGGGUGGAUGCUUGCCAGCUAACCCCCACUUCUAAAGGUUGACCUCGGAUCAGGUAGGGAUACCCGCUGAACUUAAGCAUAUCAAUAAGCGGAGGA